GUCUACGACCUUACCACCCCGGACUCACACAGACUUGUCUGAGCUUGGCAGCUAAGUGGGAUCGGGCACGAUGAGCACUCGGAUGGGAAACUCUGGGUGUGGUUCCCGAGGCCACCUUGACU
rnacentral:rRNA from 1 species